rnacentral:rRNA from 1 species
CUACGGGAGGCAGCAGUGAGGAAUAUUGGUCAAUGGUCGGGAGACUGAACCAGCCAAGCCGCGUGAGGGAUGAAGGUACAGAGUAUCGUAAACCUCUUUUGUCAGGGAACAAAGGCGGGGACGCGUCCCCGGAUGAGUGUACCUGAAGAAAAAGCAUCGGCUAACUCCGUGCCAGCAGCCGCGGUAAUACGGAGGAUGCGGGCGUUAUCCGGAUUUAUUGGGUUUAAAGGGUGCGCAGGCGGUCUGUUAAGUCAGCGGUCAAAGCCCGGGGCUCAACCCCGGCCCGCCGUUGAAACUGGCAGUCU